AGAGUUUGAUCAUGGCUCAGGAUGAACGCUAGCUACAGGCUUAACACAUGCAAGUCGAGGGGCAGCAUGUUGGUUGCUUGCAACCAAUGAUGGCGACCGGCGCACGGGUGAGUAACGCGUAUCCAACCUACCCUUGUCCAUCGGAUAACCCGUCGAAAGGCGGCCUAACACGAUAUGCGGUUCACAGCAGGCAUCUAAGGUGAACGAAAUGUGAAGGAGAAGGAUGGGGAUGCGUCUGAUUAGCUUGUUGGCGGGGUAACGGCCACCAAGGCUACGAUCGAGUAGGGGUUCUGGAGAGGAAGGUCCCCCANAUUGGAACUGAGACACGGUCCAAACUCCUACGGGAGCA
rnacentral:rRNA from 1 species